AUGUUUAGCAAUUUGGGAAAAUCAAGGAUUCCUCUCAAAUCCAGAGAUGUCUCAAGCUCUACACAGAAGAUGAAUUCAAGGCACACUAAACAUGCUGGGAUUCCAGGAAUAUGUUCAUGGCUGGAUGUCUUUUGCCAAGUGCUUUGGAAUUUUAGCUUUAUGUCCCUCCAGGGACAACUGAGGCUUUUUAAGUCUGAUGUGAAAGAUGAUUUCCUGGUGACCAGGGGACUUCUGUGUGCCUGCUCAGCCAGGGCUCCCAAACUCCUGAGAACCACGUGGAGGGUACUGCAGCGGGGGGUAACCAAUGAGACAGUCGCGCCAGGAGGAGGAGACAAAGGGGGCUGAUGACACGCCUGGAGCGGCUUUGUGAGCAGGGGCUUGAGGGAAAGAGAGCAGAGACACAUGCAGGAACCCCAGCCUGUCACGGAUUUCCACACCUGCACUUACACAGGAGGGAACAGGAGAGCCAGGCGCGGGGGUCCCAUCAAGAAAGGCCCAGUAGACAGGUGAGUGACAAGCAAGCAUUUCUGAGCUGCUGUCUGAUUGUAGAGGUUCAGCUGAGCCUGCUCUUUGAGACAGAAGUUGCUGCUUCUGAUGAAGAGUGAGGAGGGGGAGGAAAGGGAGUUGGCAAAAUGCUGGCCUUGGAGGUGGAAGAGACAGAGAAAGCCUGACCCAGGAGGGGCCAGGUCUCAGCCAGCCCGGUGCUUCAGACCUGUCCUAAUGCAGAGCUGAAAGAGAGGCUCAGACUGCAAGAAGCAAAUGACAGGACUGUGGCAGGAAAAGGUCACCCACCACUGUCCCCCCUCCCUGUCCUACAAAAGCCAGGACAUCCCUCCCUCCCGUCUCGGGAAAUGCAGAGGAAGAUGCAGGAAAGCUCUCAGCGCUGAGGAUCAAAGGGAAAGCCCAGCACACGAGGCACUGUGGUGCAUACAGAAUCAGUGCUCCCGUUCACGGCGCAUCCUCCCUGGCUUCCCUGAGAAGGAGGGGAGUCCGCUGCUCCUCUGCCUGGUGGGUGGACGUCAAACGGUAGGAGCAUGAAGCCAAGAACAGCAGGAGGAACACGGGCGGCCAGGGAAGGACGGGGUGAUGAUCAGAGGGGAAUUUCAAGAGCCUAGGAAGGGUAAAAGUUAUCAGAUCUUGGUCCAGUUGCUUGAGAGGGGGUAGAUUUAAAUGAAGACCGAAGAGCCAUAUCUCUGUCUAGAACUCAGCAAAGGGGAUUAAAAACUGCAGAAGCCUCAGCAAGCUGUGCUGGGGAAGCUGGGUGGCCAGGCUGAAAUGCACAACCUUUGGGUUGCAGCAACAUCCAUGACCAGAGGUGAACGCCCAGGACCCUGCCCUAUUCAGGGCCCAGACCAACUCAGGCACAGCACAGAAGAAGAUCCGGUCAGAGAGGCAUUCCAAAAUGUCACAAUCAGUGGGGUUGCAGGGAGCCUGCAAGGCAGCCACUGACCUGCUUCCCUGAAUUAGAGAAAGUAGGAAGACAUUAGGCAAACAUCCCUAUCCAUCUAUCCAUCGAGCCAGAGAGCAAAAAGCUGACAGAUGCAAGGUGGGGAGGGAGCUGCAGCCCAGCAGGGACAGAACCCCAUCCUCCUUCUGAAGACCCUCCCACUCAGCCCCCUGUGUGCUGGCCACCACUUUCAGCCCUGCCCAAAAUGUACUCUACUUUCUAUUAACUGUUCAUUCACCUACCUGGGAGGGUGAGAUAAUUCAUGCCAAGUGAGAAAGCAGAUAUGGACUGCACAUAUUGAAUUGACUCUCUAAGUAAAUGUUAAGAUAAAACAGGGUAC
rnacentral:lncRNA from 1 species